rnacentral:rRNA from 1 species
CAGUCGCCGCGGUAAUACCGAGGGUGCGAGCGUUAAUCGGAUUUACUGGGCGUAAAGCGUGCGUAGGCGGCUUUUUAAGUCGGAUGUGAAAUCCCUGAGCUUAACUUAGGAAUUGCAUUUGAUACUGGGAAGCUAGAGUAUGGGAGAGGAUGGUAGAAUUCCAGGUGUAGCGGUGAAAUGCGUAGAGAUCUGGAGGAAUACCGAUGGCGAAGGCAGCCAUCUGGCCUAAUACUGACGCUGAGGUACGAAAGCAUGGGGAGCAAACAGGAUUAGAUACCCCCGUAGUCCCUGUCUCUUAUAA